rnacentral:rRNA from 1 species
ACUCCUACGGGAGGCAGCAGUGGGGAAUAUUGCACAAUGGGCGCAAGCCUGAUGCAGCCAUGCCGCGUGUAUGAAGAAGGCCUUCGGGUUGUAAAGUACUUUCAGCAGUGAGGAAGGCGGAGUCGUUAAUAGCGGCAUCAUUUGACGUUAGCAACAGAAGAAGCACCGGCUAACUCCGUGCCAGCAGCCGCGGUAAUACGGAGGGUGCGAGCGUUAAUCGGAAUUACUGGGCGUAAAGCGCAUGCAGGUGGUUUGUUAAGUCAGAUGUGAAAGCCCGGGGCUCAACCUCGGAACUGCAUUUGAAACUGGCAGACUAGAGUACUGUAGAGGGGGGUAGAAUUUCAGGUGUAGCGGUGAAAUGCGUAGAGAUCUGAAGGAAUACCGGUGGCGAAGGCGGCCCCCUGGACAGAUACUGACACUCAGAUGCGAAAGCGUGGGGAGCAAACAGGAUUAGAUACCCUGGUAGCACAGAG